GACGAACGCUGGCGGCGUGCCUAAUACAUGCAAGUCGAGCGGAAGUUGGAGAGCUUGCUCUUCAACUUUAGCGGCGGACGGGUGAGUAACACGUGGGCAACCUGCCCUGCAGAUCGGGAUAACUCCGGGAAACCGGUGCUAAUACCGAAUAGUUUUCGCCACCCCCUGGUGGCGUACGGAAAGACGGUUUCGGCUGUCACUGCAGGAUGGGCCCGCGGCGCAUUAGCUAGUUGGUGGGGUAACGGCCCACCAAGGCAACGAUGCGUAGCCGACCUGAGAGGGUGAUCGGCCACACUGGGACUGAGACACGGCCCAGACUCCUACGGGAGGCAGCAGUAGGGAAUCUUCCGCAAUGGACGAAAGUCUGACGGAGCAACGCCGCGUGAGUGACGAAGGUUUUCGGAUCGUAAAACUCUGUUGUGAGGGAAGAACAAGUACCAACUAACUACUGGUACCCUGACGGUACCUCACCAGAAAGCCACGGCUAACUACGUGCCAGCCGCCGCCGUAAAAC
rnacentral:rRNA from 1 species